CUAAUUCCAGGCUUGUGGUUUACUGUUGAAAUGCUUUCUUCCAUCUAGCAGCACCACUGAGCUCUCAUCCAAAGCGAAGCUGAGCCAGCUGUCUGUCUUCCAGGUGAAGUUCGGUCUUCUGGUGAGCGGUGUAUCCAACUCUUGCAGGAAUGGUUGUAAAAAUUAGUUGCUCAGUUUUAAGUUCUUUUCUGUGAUUGAGGGCAUGAACUAUGCAAAUGUUCAUGGCAUUCAUCCAUGAUGAGCUCAGUAACACUAGCCAGAGGGACACAGGGGCUGUGUGAUGAGUUUAGAAAGAUAUGUGCCUGGGAACAGGCGAAAGCUGCUCAGGGUAUUUGUGUCCCAACAUCCUGGGUCCAUUACCUCCUGCGUUGUGUGAUUCCUCAGAUGCAGUUGCUCCUUAAGGUUUCAGAAAUGGAACAGAAACAACAAUAUCAUUCUGGUGUAUCGCUGCAAAGCUUACAGAUGCGUGUUGAACAAAAGUCUGAACAUGGAGCCAUGGCUGUAUGAGGAAGCUUGGUCUGCUGCAAGAUAGAGAAGAGCAAAUGUUGUGUUUGGCCACAGGAUGGGUUAUCAGUGCAUCACUGGCUUGUUCAAGCUUGUAAACUGAUAUUAUAUGUAAGUUUGUGUGGGUGAAUAAGGAAUAAAAGGAAGCAAACACUUAGGAUGAAGUUGGGU
rnacentral:lncRNA from 1 species